rnacentral:rRNA from 1 species
GACGAACGCUGGCGGCGUGCUUAACACAUGCAAGUCGAACGAGUGGCGGACGGGUGAGUAAUGUCUGGGAAACUGCCUGAUGGAGGGGGAUAACUACUGGAAACGGUAGCUAAUACCGCAUACCAUCAGAUGUGCCCAGAUGGGAUUAGCUUGUGGGUGGGGUAACGGCUCACCAAGGCGACGCUCCCUAGCUGGUCUGAGAGGGUGACAAGCCAACCUGGACCUGUAACACGGGCCAGACUCCUACGGGGGGCAGCAGUGGGGAAUAUUGCACAAGGGGCGCAAGCCUGAUGCAGCCAUGCCGCGUGUAUGAAGAAGGCCUUCGGGUUGGAAAGUACUUUCAGCGGGGAGGCGUUACCCGCAGAAGAAGCACCGGCUAACUCCGUGCCAGCAGCCGCGGUAAUAC